ACCUUCCCUCCUCUUUUGUUUUUCCUUUUUGUUUUUCAUAUUGAAUACAACACCUCGCUGCUUCCUUUCUUUUCCAUUUUGAUUUUUUCCGGCUUUCGCCGCACAUAUACUCACUGCACACUUGUGUGUGAUGCACAUGGAUACUGUGCAUACACAUGUGCAUCGAAUUGGAA
rnacentral:ribozyme from 1 species